rnacentral:misc_RNA from 1 species
GAUGAAGAACGUAGUGAAAUGCGAUAAGUAAUGUGAAUUGCAGAAUUCAGUGAAUCAUCGAAUCUUUGAACGCACAUUGCGCCCCUUGGUAUUCCGAGGGGCAUGCCUGUUCGAGCGUCAUUUCAACCCUCAAGCACAGCUUGGUCUUGGGCUUCGCCGCUAACCCGGCGGGUCUUAAAAUCAGUGGCGGUGCCGUCGGGCCCUGAGCGCAGUAAUCUCUCUCGCUAUAGGGUCCCGGCGGAUGCUGGCCAGUAACCCCCAAUUUUCUAUGGUUGACAUCGGAUCAGGUAGGGAUACCCGCUGAACUUAAGCAUAUCAAUAAGCGGAGGA